CGUGUAGGCGGUUGCCCAAGUCGGGUGUGAAAGCCUUGAGCUCAACUCAAGAAAUGCACUCGGUACUGGGUGACUAGAGGACCGGAGAGGAUAGUGGAAUUCCCAGUGUAGUGGUGAAAUACGUAGAGAUUGGGAAGAACACCAGUGGCGAAGGCGGCUAUCUGGACGGUUUCUGACGCUAAGACGCGAAAGCGUGGGGAGCAAACA
rnacentral:rRNA from 1 species